rnacentral:lncRNA from 1 species
AGGGGCUAUAAGGGGCAAAAUUGGCCUCAAUUUCGAGAAUUUUUCAAAUUCUACUUAUUCGUAUGUGUAUGGCUUUCUUUUUCCGUUACACAUAUUCAUUUUAUGAAAAAAAUGUUUUUUUGUAGUUAUGACGUCAUAAUGCCGUGUUUUGACAACACUUCACGUGCAUAUUUGUUGGCUUUUCACAAUUUUUUACUCAUUUUCACUAACUUUUUUUACGAAAAAAGUACCAGCGCAUUCUUGCCCCAACGAAAUAUUUUAUCAGAGCAAUAAUAUCAACAUAAAGCAUCUUAUGUUGAAAUAUUUCAGUGGGGCAAAGCUGCGCUCAUACUGAAUUUUAAUUAAAAACUUGCUCAAAACCGGCAUCAAAGUUCCAAAAUUUUUCGUCCGUUUUUCAUAUAUACCGUUAUCGGACUAAGGUUGACCAGGAACAGUUGUAUUUUUUAACAUAUUAUUAGUCAAUGGUUGAUAAUAAAACAGUUUCAUUAUAGAAAGUAAAUUAUAAAGUGUUUUUCUUCAUAUUAAAGUACAUAACAUAGCCUCUCAAGUACAGCCUAGCCCUUGUCGUCUUAUAUUUAUUGUAAGUGAUUACGGAACUGACACACGGAAUUUUACUUGUUUCUGUUGUUAAGAAGCUUUUUAUAGCGGAAUAGAAAUCAGUGUAUCAUUCGUUAAAUACUUGAUAUAAACAGACAGAAUUAAAAAAACUUUCAAUAUUAUAACUUAACACGUAAAAAAUUCCACAGCACAGCACAGCAGGGGAGUGUUUUUUUUUUGUUCUUUGGUUGUGAGCCAGAAGAGGUCCAUUUCUGUUGUUUUUUUGUUUUUUUUUUUUUUGCAUUGGGAAGAUCUUCUGGCUCUCUUCUACCUCUUCCCUUGAAAUAGGUGGUUUAGACGGCAGAGGCACAAAACAAAAAUGGCGUUGUUUUGUCGAAAUGGCAAUAAUAAAUAGAGAGCCUCCCCGUGCUUAAGGUUUAUGCUCUUAUAUUAUACUAGAUUAUGAGCCUUCGGCUGUUGUCUGCUCUAUGGUCGGGUUGUUAUCGCUUUGACACAUUCCCCAUUUCCUUUCUCAAUGUUAUUAUGAAUGUAGAUAUAUUAGAAUGUGAGCUGUGUUAUACAUGUUUUUAUGGUACGACAGCCUUAGUAGGACAUCUCUGUAGGAUGAUAAGCUAGAUGAAUAUAAGAACUACACGGACAAUAACAGUUAAGGGCCAACUAUUUAAUAUUCUAGGGAAGGAAUUUUAUUUAUUGUUGUUAAACUCUACUUUCAUCACUCAUGAUUUGGCUAGUGGUUAGUUUAAAUCAUUAGAUGAGGAAUGAAGAAGGAAAGAGGGUAUUAUUGAUCAUUUUAAUAUGUCGCUAAACAUGCCUAUUUUUCAACUCUUAGCAGGCAACCAUAUUCAUAUACGAAAUACUCCUGUCCCCACCCCAACCGAAGUUAUUAAAUAUCAGAUGGUUUUCUCUUAUUUAACACAACUUUAAAUUGAUGCUAAUUUUUAACGCACAGUGACACAUAUUUCAUGCAUAUUCAGG